rnacentral:rRNA from 1 species
UGAUCCUGGCUCAGGAUGAACGCUGGCGGCGUGCCUAAUACAUGCAAGUCGAACGCUUCACUUCGGUGAAGAGUGGCGAACGGGUGAGUAAUACAUAAGUAACCUGGCAUCUACAGGGGGAUAACUGAUGGAAACGUCAGCUAAGACCGCAUAGGUGUAGAGAUCGCAUGAACUCUAUAUGAAAAGUGCUACGGGACUGGUAGAUGAUGGACUUAUGGCGCAUUAGCUGGUUGGUAGGGUAACGGCCUACCAAGGCGACGAUGCGUAGCCGACCUGAGAGGGUGACCGGCCACACUGGGACUGAGACACGGCCCAGACUCCUACGGGAGGCAGCAGUAGGGAAUCUUCGGCAAUGGGCGAAAGCCUGACCGAGCAACGCCGCGUGAAUGAUGAAGGCCUUCGGGUUGUAAAAUUCUGUUAUAAGGGAAGAACGACUUUAGUAGGAAAUGGCUAGAGUGUGACGGUACCUUAUGAGAAAGCCACGGCUAACUACGUGCCAGCAGCCGCGGUAAUACGUAGGUGGCGAGCGUUAUCCGGAAUUAUUGGGCGUAAAGAGGGAGCAGGCGGCACUAAGGGUCUGUGGUGAAAGAUCGAAGCUUAACUUCGGUAAGCCAUGGAAACCGUAGAGCUAGAGUGUGUGAGAGGAUCGUGGAAUUCCAUGUGUAGCGGUGAAAUGCGUAGAUAUAUGGAGGAACACCAGUGGCGAAGGCGACGAUCUGGCGCAUAACUGACGCUCAGUCCCGAAAGCGUGGGGAGCAAAUAGGAUUAGAUACCCUAGUAGUCCACGCCGUAAACGAUGAGUACUAAGUGUUGGGAGUCAAAUCUCAGUGCUGCAGUUAACGCAAUAAGUACUCCGCCUGAGUAGUACGUUCGCAAGAAUGAAACUCAAAGGAAUUGACGGGGGCCCGCACAAGCGGUGGAGCAUGUGGUUUAA